GUGUUUGAGAAAGUCCCAGGACUUGACAGCCGUAUAGGCCUCAUAAAAGGCAGCUCUGUUCUGGGUUUGAAAGGGACCGCAGUUAAAAGCUAGGGCUAGGACUUGGAGGAUGUGUAGGCAAACGGAAGGAGAGCCGGGGGAAGAAAAGCCGAAAUGGAUUCAUUCUCCGUCCUGGCUGGAGGAGGAGAGGAGCGGGGACGUGCGGGCUGCCUGCAGCUGCCUCUGUCCGGUGAGAAGUGCUCGCAGCCCCGCGGCUGACUCGGGCUCGGGAGUCCGCGCGGACUUUCGCUCUAAGCUGCCAAUCAAACCGCUAACCGCCACCACCCUGCGCCGGCACCGACAUGAGCUGAGGCACCGUGUUGUGCCAGAGCCACCUCUGCAGCCCCCUCAGCCACCUCAGCCCUGA
rnacentral:lncRNA from 1 species